rnacentral:lncRNA from 1 species
UUUUUUUUUUUUUUGGGUAAGUCUUGGUCCUCUUGGAUUUGUUGAGAAACCAUAUGGUAUUGGUAUAUGUCAUCUUUGUAGUACUAAAAAGCUCUGGGAACUUCCUUCUUCUGUGAAAACAGUGGAAGACAAGAAAUUGAACUCCCAGAAGAGCUUAAAAGACACCACUCAACGGCAACUUCCUACAUUCAAAGGCUACAAAUGUUGGUCUCGAGUAUGCAUCUACAUCGUUUUUCUUCUUGCUGGUCAAUCUGCUGCCACUCUUUUGGGAAGACUAUACUAUGAUAAAGGUGGGACUAGCAAAUGGAUGGCAACAUUUGUUCAAUCAGCAGGCUUUCCAAUCUUGAUCCCCCAUCUUACUUUUUGUCCUACGAUCUGAAUCCUCUUCAAACAAUGAUCCUUCAAAACAGCCAUCUAUCUCCACCCUUUUGUUGCUUUUUCUCUUCUUUAGCAUGCUUCAAGCAGGUGAAAAACUGAUGCAUUCCUAUACCUCCCUGUCUCCACCGAAUCUCUUAUAUGUGCCACUCAGUUGGCCUUCAAUGCACUCUUUUCCUCACUCCUGAACUCCCAAAAAUUCACAGCAUUAAUCUUGAAUACUCUAGUCCUCCUUACUAUCUCAGCCUCACUUCUUGCAGUACAUCCCGACUCUGAUACGACAACAAAUGUUUCCACGGGGAAGUACAUCAUUGAAUUUCUGUGCACUGUUGGUGCAUCAGCUACGUACUCACUACUACUUUCUCUUCUAGAAUUAACUUUCAAGAAGGUACUCAAGAGGCAAACAUUUGACGCUGUUUUGCUUGAGUUGCGGGACUUUUUUUAGUGGAGAUUGGAAAACAUUGCAAUCAGAAAGGAAAGAGCAUCAAAAGGGCAGUUUUGGACUGCUGUCUCGUGGCAAAUUUCAUUAGUUGGUUUGUUGGGGUUGAUUUUGAGGUGUCUUCCCUGUUUUCAAACGUCAUUAGUACGAUUCCCGUGCCGGCUAUUCCAAUUCUAGCUAUGAUUUUCUUCCAUGACAAAAUGGAUGGAGUGAAAAUCAUAUUUUUGAUCCUUGCAAUUUGGGGCUUCCUAUCCUAUGUUUAUCAGCAUUAUCUCGAUGAUGUUAAAGUCAAAUCAAGAACAUCCUUGUCAAAUGAAGACGCCUCUGGUUCUCUGUUGGAGACUUCUUGACAAGUCUAUGUAAUCUACCCCAUAGGUUGAAGACUUUCAAUUAGAGAUCUAAUUUCUUGUCACACCGCCAAGUUGAUGUGAUAUCUAUGCUGAUCUCCAUGUCCCACCAUUCAGCAUUAUAGACGUACACUGAUUUAGUUAGCCAAUAUUGACUAUUCUCUGUCACCUUGCUAAAUUUGUUUAAUAUACGUAAACCUCAUCCCAAACAUGAGCAAAGAAUAUGGCCAAGAGUGAAUACGUAAGCCUCAUCCCAAACACAAGACAACUGAUUUUUUGAGGUGUGAAGCAAUCUAAAACGGUCAAGUUUACAAACUCCACUCACCAAUGAAUGAAGAACAAAGUUAGAUGGUAGCAAUCAAAAGCCUCCAUUUUGAGAUUUCCGAUAUGCUAAGUCCACGUUUUACUAUUGAAGUCAACUUAAAUGAGCUCGGAAUUAAACUAAGAGGGCUCUAUAAAGCAGGGGAUACUCCACCGAGAAUCAAUGAUUGUUGCUCUACACUGCAUUGAGCACCCAUAAAGCAAGCAGAGAAACUCUUCCUAUGAAAGAUAAGUCUUCAUGGAGAAUACUACUCAAGAAAUGGAACUGCAGAUUAGAGGUCAGUCUUCAAUAUCCUGCGCUUAACUUAAUUUAAGCUUUUUCUUUUAAUUGUUUGCAAUUAAUGCUGGAAACAGAUACUUAAAGUAGAAUACUUACUUGGGAGCAUGCAGUGUAUGUUGGGACCAAAACCAAGUGUUCAGUGAAACUUUAGUUUUAAUUGAUUAGUUUGCUGUUUCCAGCAGAAACCUGCAUAAUUACAAGAGAGAUAACCGUAAAGGCAAAAUAUAUGGGUAUAAUAGUUAGGUAGGACUCUUCCUAGGACGAGCCCGAGAAGCUAAAAGCUCAGGCUCAAUUUUCUUGCUAUUUUUUCUCGAUCGAUAGAGCAAUUAUCCUGAAUAAGGCUUAGACGUUAAAAUCCAUGGGCCCAAUGAACAGCAUAAGGCGUACGCGAUUAAUCAGAAGCACUUCAAUGAAACAAAUGGAUUUGUGGAAGUUACGUUUGGUGUUGUAUAUUUCUGACACACACCAACAUUCAUUUUGUUGGUCGAUUUUUAAGAUUGAUGAAUCUGAUUUGUAGUUCUGAUAAUUUCAUUGAAAUCAUCAAGUCAAAAACACUAACAUCAUCAAGAUUAGAGACCGCAGCUACAUGACAGUACAGUACUUGAGCGCAUCAUGUAUCAACAAUUUCAAGUUAUGAGACAUCUCAUUUCUCCGAUCAUGCCAGAUUAUUGUGUUGAUCUCAUGAUUAACCUUGUUUCUUUUUCUUUUUGUUUUCUUUUGUAUUUGUUGACAAUAUUUUAUUAUCAUCCUUCUCUUUGCUGCACCAAAAACCUAUGAAAAUUCCCUUCUUCUGCGAUAACAGUGGAAAACAAGGAAUUGAACUCGCAGUCACGGAUGCCCUCAACAGCCACCACUCAACAGCGGCUUCCUACAUACAAAGACUAUAUGUGGUGGUUUCGAGUAUCCCUCUACAUUGUUUCUCUUCUUGCUGGUCAAUCCGCUGCUACUCUUCUGGGAAGGCUAUACUAUGAUAAAGGUGGGAACAGCAAAUGGAUGGCAACAUUUGUUCAAUCAGCAGGCUUUCCUGUCUUGCUUCCCAUAUUACUGUACGUCCAGCUAUCUAAAUCCUCUACAAACAACGCUCCUCCAAAACAUCCAUCUAUCUCCACCUUUUUGUUGCUUUUUCUCUUCUUUGGCCUACUUUUAGCCGGUGACAAUCUAAUGUACUCAUACGGCCUCUUAUACCUCCCUGUCUCCACGUAUUCUCUCGUAUGUGCUACUCAAUUAGCCUUCAAUGCACUCUUUUCGUUCGUGCUGAAUUCCCAAAAAUUCACCGCAUACAUCUUCAAUUCCCUAGUCCUGCUUACUGUCUCAGCCUCACUUCUUGCAGUCCAUCCAGACUCCGACUCCACGACAAAAGUUUCCAAAGGGAAGUACAUCAUUGGAUUUCUGUGCACAGUUGGUGCAUCAGCUACGUACUCGCUGUUCCUCUCCCUCCUGGAAUUAACUUUCAAGAAGGUAAUCAAGAGAGAAACCUUUGAUGCUGUUUUGCUGAUGCAAAUAUAUCCAUCAUUUGUUGCAACUUGUGCUUGUGUGGUGGGACUUUUUGCUAGUGGUGAGUGGAAAACAUUGCCAUCAGAAAUGAAAGAGUAUGAAAAGGGCAGGGUGUCCUAUGUCAUGACCUUGUUUUGGACUGCCGUCUCAUGGCAGAUUUCAUCUGUUGGUUUGUUGGGGUUGAUUUCUGAGGUGUCCUCCCUGUUUUCAAAUGUCAUUAGUACCAUUUCCCUGCCCGCUAUUCCAAUUCUUGCUGUGAUUUUCUUCCAUGACAAAAUGGAUGGGGUGAAAGUAAUAUCUUUGAUCCUUGCAAUAUGGGGCUUCCUUUCCUAUGUCUAUCAGCAUUAUCUCGAUGAUGUGAAUGCUAAAUCAAGAACAUCCAUGUCAAAUGAAGAAGCCUCUGGUUCUUUCCUAGGGACUUCUUGAAAGAUUCCAGAGUAAUCCUGUAUAAUGCUCAAGGGAUAAGCAAAUUCAUGGAAAGAUUUAGUCAUAGCAAACCUGUGUUUGUUUCCACAUUCUUAUCAGUCAUUAAAUCAUAUAGCUACAUAGGGUGAUUUCCUUAAUAUGUUUAUUUUCAACAGAUAAAAUCCUUUUGCACUUGUCUUUUGUUACACUGACCUCACUUACCUUAUAGUAUCUUCAUUAUAUUAGGACUUCAAUAUGUUUUCCUGAAGGUCUACUCACUUCCUGAUCACUGUUUACCCAUAGCUUUUAUUUUCCCUGAAAUGACUCAAAUUGUUGUGGUGUUGGUAGUAGUACAAUUUAUUAAGUUAUUUAUUGAACUGACUCAAAUUGCUUGAGGUCGCAGGACUUGACCGGAUGAUAGCCUGUAAGAAACUACUGAAAAUGGGAAAGUAUAUUUGUUUAUCUUUUUGUAUAAUUAUAGAUUAUGAAAACCAUGUUUCUGUCCCCUAUGAAAACCACAUGUUUGUGUCUCUCACAAUUUCGCACAAAUUUGUCCUUGGUGUAAAUCACUUUAGGUAUUUAAAAGUUGAAAUUCGGUGGAAAAAAUUAGAUGUGAGUGAAAACAAAUUAGAUUCAGGAUAGAUGAACGACAACAAAUUAUUUUAGGUAUCUAUCAAUACAUUGAUAGUGUACCAACUAUCAGUAUUGGAUGAAUGAUAAAUAUGUAAAAUUUGAAUUUAAAAUUCAACUUUUGUGUGUGUAUAUAUAUAUAUAUAUAUAUAUAUAUAUAUAUAUAUCAUGAAUCUAACGAUGAUAUUAUAUACACUAUCAGUAUAUAUAAUAUUUAUUCAUAAUCAUUACUGUUGGUUUGUUAUUAUUGGUGUAGAUCGGGUACAAUUUGGUCUAAUUUAGAGAUAAAUUACUAAUUUACUCCCAACUUGCACUAAAUGUUGCAAUGCUUACCCAAAGUUUCUUCAACUAAAGUAAAUUUCUAACAUGUAAUCAUGGCACAUAUUAAUGUGCCACUAAAGGGCAUGAACUUUUUUAUGGCACUUUUCAUGGUGCCAUGACUUAUAAUGCAUGGCACUUUGAUUUAGUGCCACAAAACUGCUAUAAAAAUUAUUCCUGACACUUGUUUUUAGUGGCACGUUUUCAGUACCAUGAGUAGAUUAUUUUUUUUGUAGAGUUUGUUUAUAAUAAAAGUUUAAAAAUUCAAGUCACCCAAUAAUUGAUUUUCCUUUGAAAUUAGGGUUAAAAACAAACAAGCCCUCUGUGGUAUACCUAAAACACAAAAAUCCCCCGUGGUUUCAAAAUAUACAAAACGACAUCUCAUGUUUUGAACUAAAUUGUAAACUAAUAGAAUUCGUUAAACUUAACUAAAAUGACGUUUUCGACCGUUAAACUUAUCGAAUUCCGUUAAGUUUACCGUUAAAUUUAUCGGAUUACGUUAAAUUUUUCGUUAAGUUUACCAGAUUCCAUUAAAUUUAACGAAUUCUGUUAGUUUAUUAUUUAGUUCAAAACAUGAGGUAUCGUUUUGUAUGUUUUAAAACCACGAGGGACUUUUCUGUAUAUUAGAUAUACCACAUAGGGUUUUUUUGCUUUUAACCCUUGAAAUUGAGUAGGGUCCGAAAUUCAACAACUAACAACUUUGAACCUCGAAAAGGAAAAAGAUCUUGCACUUUCGCGAUUCUCUAUCCAUGUUUUCCUAGUCUGUUGAAAACAUAAAACUGGUGGGCAUCUUUGUUCUAAGAAAUUAGCUCACUCAUUCUAAUUUCUAAUUUGUUGUUCAUGCACAACGCAUUCCCAAAUUCUUCUGCCCUUCAUCUCUUAUCAAAGUCCAUUGCGUCUUCCUAUUUAACCCAGCUUUUGGGAAGUCUCCCUGAAUUUCAGAAUCACAUCAGUUUUCUCCUUUUGUGGCUCUCUUAGCUUCAGUUUCUUGCGUCUCAGUCUUGCAUAAUCAGGUUUGUCAAAAUGAUACAAGUUUAUGGUUAUCUUUUUCCCUUAGUUAUUAACAUAACUUAAUUUUGAACUCAAGCUGGAUAAUCUUUUUGCAGAUUAGAUUUGAAGUCUUCCCUUUUGCAUUCUCAAGUUCAAUCAUUACUUGAUCUCUACAUUCCCAGGAGAAUUUGCACAACUAAGGUAUGUUCUUCUCUCCCUCUUGCAAUCCAUUAGAGUGAAAUUAUCAAAUUUGUAUAGAAUUGGUUUGCAUCCAUGUUGCUAAUGUCGUUGCGAAAAACUUCGAAGCAAGAUUAAUGCUGAUUUAAGGGAUUGAUGAUUUACAUCUACAUGCAUUAUAAUUAAAUUCCUGUUCAAUCUUAAGGAUGCGUUAAUUAAGAGGUAGAGCUGGUGUAGUAGGUGGUGGUAUAUGCACACAAAUGAUGUGAUGAUGGGUUCACUUUUAUUUCGCAUCGUGUGCGAUUUUUCUUAUAACUUGUGAGUAGAGAUGCUAACGACUCGAGUCACUAGUUGAGCUGUACUAGAGUUAAAAUACCUAAACUUGACCUCAACCUUGAUUUAAUUUUAGUUUACUUGAACUCGAUUAGAUCUGGCUAAAAUUUAGCUUAAUCAAGCUCAACAAAUGUCAAGGCGAGUUUGAGGCUUGAGCCUCAUAUUGAAGUAAGGAUGGCAACGGGGCAGGGUUAUAUUUAAAUUAAGCUUCCCCCGCGGGUGCCUCCAUAGGACUAAUAAAAAUUUGUUAUAUGAUUUUAUUAUAAUUAAAUUUUAGCAAAUAAUCAAGUACUAAAAUAUCAACAUAUCACCAAAUUAUUAUUCAUUAUAAUUUUAUAAUUGAAACUUAUAAAAAUAAUCAAACAAAAGUUAUUUGAAUACAAUCCAGCAUCAUGAAAUAAAUACAACUAAAGUAGUCAAAUUUUUACUUUUGACACAAAUACAAUCACUAAUUCAUUAUUGUGCUUGUGUUUUUUUUUUUUAGAAAAAAAUGUUAUUGUAUUAAGUGUAAUUAGGGAUUUAGUAUAAAUGUAUUAGUAAAUUUAGUAUAACUAAUUAAUAAUUUCUAUUAGUAGUCAUAUAUAAUUAUUAGUAUAACAUAUACUAAUAUACAUUAUAUAAUACAUAUAACUAAUAAUAUCAUUAUCAUAAGUUUGUAACUAAUUAAAUUAAAUAUUAUAUAUAUAAUUAUAUACACAUAUAUAUAUUUAUUUAUUUUUAUAUAUUUUUUAAGCCGAUGGCGAGGCGGGGAAUGGGCGGGGGUACACUUCCCUGCCCCCACCUCCCGCCCCCCGCCCCUGCCCUAUUUUUAAACGGGGGAAAAAAAUUUCCCCUGCCCCAUUUGCCCCCCGCGGGGCGAAUGGCCGCGUCCUUAUAUAUAAGAUCUAAACUCAUCAAAUUAUUUCAAUUAUUUGAAUUCAGUGAAUGUGAGCUUGAACUUGAAUUUUAAUAAAUUCAUAGAACAAGAUCGUGAAUGAUUUGAACUCGAUUGGUUUGCAUCCCUAUCCCUAUGUGUCAGAGAUCAUAUUCGUAAAUUGGAGCGCGUCUAAACUGCAGAGUGCAAAGCCAUGGAUUCCUUAUGCUGAAGUCAAGUGUUAGACACUUCACAGACUUUCUCAAUUUCUAAUGCCUAAUCGUGCUUAGCUGAAUACAAAGGCAGCAACUAAAUCCUUCUUUAGGAACAUCAAAAAAGGCAUUUCAAUUGGAUGUUGCAAUUUUGCACAGAAGAUUAAUGGGAAAUAUUUUAAGUGUAAAUCUCCAUCAAUGCUGAUUUAGCAUCUCGACAAACAUUGUGACAAUAGGUACAAGAAUUACCUCUUGUACAAUUUGGAGAUGCAUCAUUCUUGUCUUUAUAUAGAAAGAGUGGAAAAUUUUAUUAAUAUCAAACUAAAUCUGCAUCAUUCUUGUCUUUAUUAAAUAAGGGACCAUGCAUCAUCAGUCACCAAUGCCGGAUAAUUAAUACUACAAACUAAUCUCCUCCUUGCCAUCAUCUUCAUUGGUACGAAAACUGGGAGAUAAAAACAAAAGUUCCUUGGAGUCAAGUCGACUGCAAAGGAGAGCAAAUUUGUGUAUGAAAUAAGACAUCUUUCAUGGAGUCUUGCAUGUUGACCAUGACCACACAUGAUAAGCCAAACUAGACACCUUUGCAGAACAAUAGUAUAUCGAUUAAUUUUUACAAAAACUCUCAGUAAUCUCUCAUCUUUUUUUUUUUUUAAUGAAAAAGAAUGGAAUAAAGGAAGAUAUUAUAUAAAUCUUAGUCAUUUCGUUCAACUGAAAAACAAAGUUUGCUCACCUGUUCUUUCUGGAAAUUGUUGUGCUCUGGGAAAACAACUAAACCCUAAUUAAUAGAGGCGGGAAUGUUUUAUACAAGGUUUAAGCAGUUAAGCAAUUAGGGUUGGAUAUCUUUCUAAGUUAAAAUUUGAGCACAUUUUGUUUUAUCUUUGUGUUACUAACAGCUACUGGUAAUAUCUUUAUCAUGCGUCUUGUUCAACUAAUUUAACUAUUCUCAAGAAAAUUCAACCUUAAGGAACUGCCUGUUGGCAUAAGCUAGAAUUUUCAUGGAGUAAAUCAUUUCUAUGGAUGCUCUUUCAAAAGCAGUGCUACAAGCUGUUUGGUUAGCAUGAUUUGCAACAAAAUAAAAAAUAAAAAAUUAUUCACCUUACAUUAUAAACACAAUUUUUAACUACCUUUUAUUUUUAUCUUAUGUACAUCACGUUACAAAAAUGUACUAUAAUAUUUUUUCAAAUAAUCUCCUAUUUAAACACUUCUUUGGAUGACCUGCUUCUCAAAUGAAACGGGUAAUAAACCACAUUGAUGCCGUUUCAGUCACAUCAAAAUUUGAAAAUAUUUUCUAGAAAUCAUUUUUAACAAUUUCUGGUGUUUGGUUGCUUUAAAGCUGGUGCAAAUACUUUCCAUCGUAAAAUAUUUUCCUGAAGUCAGUGCAAUAUAACUUCCCUAUACGAGCGACUGAAGUUGUUUUCUGGAAGAACACGUCGUUGACGAAAUUGAAACUCUCAACAGCCCUCAGGGGCUUGGUCUGGUGGUUGAGGUUACUGAAAAUGGAGCUUCAGGUCCCUAGUUCGAACCUUGCUGCCAGCAAGUUGCUGAGGGUGGUGCUGCGGGGUCCACUCCCUGCGGGACACACCUUAAAAAAAAUAAAAAAAAAACAACCUAACUUCCAAAGGUGAUGAUUGAUGAGAGACUCGAAAGGCUCACCAGGGAAUUUGCUAGUGAACUUGACUCCGUUUCCGGCCACUUUUUCGGUGUAGUUUUGGAUACAAUUUUCGCUUUCCAGAUAACCUUAAGAUCUUUUUCCUUCUUCAUUUGGAUUCAUUUUUUUUCUCCUUUUCUUUUGGAACUCCAAUUUUUUUGUGUCAAAUUGCCUUGAUCUUUAUGUGAAAAUUGGAUUUGGAGUUUAUGGAUCAUAUUCUGGGGUUCAAUGAAAUUACAUUUCCCUCACCUCCCAAUCAAGGAAUUCUCUCAAGUCGACUACGAAUCUGCUACUCUAUCUCAAGUUGUGAGAAGAUGAAUUUUCAUGGGUUAAGGAUUUGUCAGGUUGAGGUGGCAAUGUAGUAGUCGGCAAAGAACAGUGGUGGUGGUGGUAAUUAGUAAUAACCAUUUUGACGAUAUGAACAAAGUUGCAAAAUUGCAACCAAACACUCAAAAAUUAUGAAAAUGCAAAUCUUUUCAUUGAAAAUAAUUUUAGGUGAAAAUAUUUUCAUCAUGAAAAUAUUUUACAUCCAAACAAAUAGAGCCUUAGGAUAGGCAUUUUUUUUCCUUUUUUCUCGGGAGGUGGUGGUUUAUACCAAUGUUUUGAAAAUUGGACCAGACCUGUCGGUUCAACCGGUUGAAGCGAACCGGCCAUGACAUCAAUCCGAUUCUAUACUACAAUUGAAAUUGGCAAAUAACUGGUCAAACCUGUCAAAAUCAGUAAACUCGAUCGAAUCGGUGAUUCCGGUUUUUCAAUUUCCCCCUCGAGACCUUUGCUACAGCAGGCUAGCAUAGUAACCAUUGCACCAUCACAUCCAAUUAGUCUCUUUUUAUACCACAUUUAUAUAAAACAAAUCUCCAUCUUUUUUUUCUCCUUUUUUCCUAUAAAAUCUCAUUCUUUUAUGACUCUUUCUUUGUAAUAUUCAACUCUCUCUCUCUCUCCUCUUUUCUUUUGUCACCCCUUUUUAAUCAAAACUCUUUAGUUUUAAUUUAUUGAUGUUUUCUUCCAUCUUUUAAUUUUGUUUUUGUCUAUUAAAUUGAAAAAAAUAAAAAAAAUUUGUUUUUAUUUAACCAUAAAGACUAAUUAUUAAAUGCCACAAUCACUCACUUUCAUCUCAUUUUUUGCUUCUUAUCAAGUUUGCAUCUCUAUUUUCGAUUCUCUUGACUUCUUCCAAACUCCAAACUUCUUUUUUUUUAAGUUGCAAUAUCUAAAUCCCAAAACAUGAAUUAAAAUUUAAACUCACAAUGUCUAAUAUCCAUAUACGUGAAUUUUGUAUAAUUUCAAAAUAUUGUGAUUUUUUUGGCUGGAUUUAAGAUUAUUUUUUUGGUAGAUAUAAUUGAGAUAGAGAUGAAAUUUAUUUGUUUCAACUUCUAAUUUUAAAAAUUUAUUUUUGAAAAUAUUAAACUUUUCAUCAUAUAAAUUUUUAAAUUAGUCCAUUGCAUGUCUUAUUUUGUGCAUAUAUAUAUUUAUAUAAAUUAUUUUUAAAAAAAUUCAUUGAACCAGAGUUGAACCGAUCCGACCGGUUGAACCUUGACCUGAACACCUUACCGAUUCAAUUAACGGUCCGAGUUUUAAAACAUUGGUUUAUACACACAAAUGAUGUGAUGGUUUCACUUUUAUUGUGGCAAUUAGAGUUCUAAUGUUCUUAUCAUGUGUGAUUUCUGUCAUUUCCUAUUUCUCACAUCUUAUUAUUUGGAAAGAAAAAGAAAAAUUCUAUGGUGGAGCCAAUCUAGUUCCUCCUUUAAAAAAGAACACAAAAUAAAGAACAAGAGAUUUUGCAGCACAAUCGCUUGAGUUAGCCAAGAUGGUAGAGCUGGUAUCAUGCCUUUUUGCCAACUUGGGUUCAAACCUCUCCUGGAUAUUUGCCUGUCACACAGGGUUUGCCUAGUGUGUCUUACCCCCUUCGUGUGAUUGGGGGAGUUGGUGCCAUACCUUCUUGCCAAUCCGGGUUUGAACCUCUCUUGGGAUAUUUGAGUUGGUGUCAUGUUUUUGCCAAUUCGGGUUCGAACAUCUCCUGGGAUAUUCUUUCAUUGCAUAUGGCUUGCCUAGUGUAUCUUACCCCUCUAUGUGAUUGACAGGCUAUUGCAUCGAGUGGGAUUUACCCAGGAUGGGAUUUAUCCCGUGCGUACUCUGGGAUAGCGGCUGCGGGUUCCCUUGUCAACAAAAAAAAGAGAGAUACGUAACAACAUCCCCGGAUUCCCCAUAUGUGGAUAGCUGAUGAAACUAGGGCAAUUUGGAAGUGGUCACACCUUGUACAAUUUGGCUUGCCUUUGUUAAAUAGGGGACCCUCAUCAGGUCCCAAUUGGAUAAUAGUUAAUACUACAAAUUAAUCUCCACUGUGCCAUCAUCUUCAUUGAUACCAAAACUGGGAGAGGAAAACAAAAGUUAGUUGGAAUCAAGUUGUCUAUAAAGGAGAGCAAAGUUGUGUAUGAAAUAAGACAGCAUUCGUGGAGUCAUGCAUGUGACUUUGCAGAACAAAUGGUAUAUUGAUUAUUUUUACAAACAUGCAGUAGAAAAGGCCCAUUUUUUUUUUCUUUUUCUUUGAAAAAAAUUCAAAUGGAAUAAAGAAAGGAUAAUCUAUAUCCCAGUCAUUUUGAAUUGAACAAGAGAAAAGUCUCAACCAUUGCUAAGGUGUUCUUCUUGGAAAUCCUCUGUCUAGGGAUAAUGAUAACAAUCCCCUAACAAUUACAGAUGCCAAUUCUUGAUACAAGGUUUAUUGUCUUUCAAGUUAAAAUUUGAGCACAUUUAAUGCUGUCUUUGAGUGAUUGAUAGCUACUAGCAAUAUUUUCAGUGUGUGGCUUGAUUAAUUAACUAAUUAACGAGUCUAAUCUAAUAAAAAGAUUAUCUUUAAUUAAGGAACUACCUUUUGGCAUUAGCUAGAAUGUUCAUGGAGGGAUCACUUCUAUGGGUCUUCUUCAAACUAGUAUAAAUUUUGAAGACCUUGUCUUAAGCAUCUAAAAGUAACUCCAAUUUUUGCUUUGACCAGCUUCUAAAAGAAAACGGGUAAUUCACUCACAAUUAUGCAAAAUUGUGUUGGUGAAAUCAACAUCUAGGACAGGCUUAUCUAUUAUAAUUCAGAAUGUAGAGAAGAAGCUUUGUAAUUGCAACAAAUUUCACGAGAUGUAGAGAAGAAGCUUUUUCUUUUUUUUUCUUUUUUUCUUUUUUGUAAUCCAAGCUUAUUCUUUAGUAGCAAAAUGAUUUAUUAGAUGGCUUUCGUUCUUUCCUUUUUUUUCAAACCAAAUGAGAAAAGAAAUUAUAUAUAAAAAUCGUCUCAUCACUUUAUUAUGUCCCCCUCUAGGAUUUAGAGGUCCUAGAAGUCCUGACUUCUGUUCCGCUUUUCUCAUUCCUGUUUCUUAAAUCUCAUCCUUUCCCCGUUAAAAAAAUAAAAAUUAAAAAAAAACUGUACUAUGUCCCUCCAAAUCUGUGAAACCUUAUUUGUCUAACUUUUGACCAGUAAUGAAAACCUCAGUUUUUUUUUUCCGGUAAAAAGGCAGUAAAAGUUGUUUACAAUAAUUUAUUUUUCUUUUAACUACAAUGGAUUCAAUCACACCUACAUUCUCAGCUAAAAGAAAACCUUACUAGUCAAGUGCUAACCACUAAGUUGCUUUCAAAGCGAUGGAUCGAUCCUUAGAAAUUCCUACUGACCUGUCUUCUAUCUAAUUACCAUUUUUAUGAGACUCCACACUGCAAUAAAUUUCUGUUCCCGAAAACUAACUACUCCAGAACAAGAAUAGCUAAUCGACUUGUAAAAUGCCUAUAACAUAAUUCCUAUUCUGAAAUCAUCUUCCCAUAUGCCUCCUGCAUUCAACUCGAAAAUCCUUGUUUUUAAUUUUCUCACCUUCUUGGCCAUCAAAAUACAGAGAAAUUAUUCUUGCAUAUGCAUGCAUGGAGCAUUGGAGCAAGACUUCUUCAGUGGAGCCCUUACCUCUAGGAGGAUGGAAGAAUAAGCGAAAAAUGGAGGAAAUUGGUGUAACUACCGCUGAUGAAUGCCAUUUUCCUAAUAUCAAAGUUCACGAGGGUCAAAAGAUUUUCCCGGUGGUGCGAGUCCCACAUGGAGUUUUCAGAAGACCAGUUGAUAUUCCAAGUAUUACCAGCAACCGUGAAGCUUCAGAAAUCCGGGUUGAUCACGUGAAGUCUCCAAGGUUCAUAAGAAACCUGAUUUCUACUCUUGAAAAUGGAGUAAAUCAGAAAGUACCGGCUGAAAAAGCUCGAAGUAUAUCAAGGGCAGAAGCAAACGUUUCUGGAAGAAUUUUUAAUAGUCAUGAAGAAACUGGAGAUGACCACCAAAGCAUCCAUAAAAGCUUCAUCACAAAUGAUUUUUCCAGGUCAUCCAUGGCGCCCGGCACCUCUACUACGAAAACUGCUCCUGAUCAUGGAAAGAAGUACCAAAAAAAUGUUGUCAAGGCCAGGCAAAAAGUGAUGGAGAUUUUAGAAGAAUUUCGAGCUUAUUGUGACCAUCUAUCGCGGAUGAACAGCGACAAGAAGUAUGAUAACAAAAAUCGGGUAUAUUCCUUAGCUGCAAGGAUGACCAAAGAGAAAUUUCGUCACUAUCAGGACAGGCCCUUCUUAGGACCAGUUCCUGGUGUGGAAAUUGGAGAUCAAUUCCGCUGCAGGAUGGAGCUUAACGUUGUAGGCCUUCAUCAUCCUUGGCGGGGAGGGAUUGAAUAUAUGAAUGAUGGAGGAAGAACUGUAGCCACCAGUAUUGUGGAUUCUGGGAGUUAUGAAAACUACAAGCCUAAUAAAGAUACGUUGAUAUAUUGUGGUCAAGGAGGGUAUAAUACAAGUGCAAAUGUGGGGCUAGAAAUCGCUGAAGAUCAGAAGCUGGAAGGGGGAAAUUUGGCAUUGUUCAAUAGCAUAAGGACAAAGAAUCCUGUGAGAGUGAUAAGGGGAACUAAGGUAUUAAGGGCCUCUAUGACUUACUUCUAUGAUGGAUUGUACACGGUUGAGAAAAUGUGGGAAGACAAAGGUUUACAAGGGAAGAAGAUUUUCAAGUUCAAGUUAGUGAAAAUGCCAGGACAAGUCAAGCAUCCUUGCUAAAACAAAUUUAAGGUAAUUACUUUAUGAUAGGAUGAUUAUUGUACAGUCUUAUAAUAAUUUAAAGCAUUUUAAUCUGUGUUACUGCUAUUGAAAUUGUUCAGUAACCCUUUCUAGAAUAUAUAUAAAUUCACGUAAUCGUUGACCUCUUGCUAAUCAAGCUCGGAUCGAAUCACCGAUUCGAAAGCCAUAUUUCGACCCGGACGUUUUAGGGAUGUCGUAAUAGAAGAGACAUUUGGUGAUAAGCUUAAUUUAUUUAAUAGCAUUGCGAUGAUUUAGAUCAUGGAAGAAACUACAUGUGUAUUAGGCACUCACAACUGCAUUUUCUCUCUGCAAAGAGAGCUUUUUUUUUUUGUUAUUGAUUUUGUUUUCUCGCACGAUGGCAUUCCUCUUUUUCUUUCUUUUUCCUAUUUAAGAUUUUCUUGAAGAAUUUCUUCGUCGUUAAUUAUGCUGGGACAAGGGAGGAAAUAUUAUUGGAGUAGGAUGGUGAACUUGAUUCAAAUGCAUGCCAUAGUGUUUAUGUGGCUAGUGACUGGGUACACAAAGAAACUGGUAGAAGGCCUAUAUGAAUCAAAAAUCAAUUUCAGUCGCAAUAGUAGAGGAUUGAAAGCAAUUACUCAAAGCGCUUAGAAUGUAUUUGAAGUUUACAAUGUACUGAAACAAAUAAAAUAAUUCUUGGUUUAAAAAUAUAUGAUUAGUUUGGUACUCAAAGAGGGAGGAUAUGCGCCUUGAGAUGUAUGAAAAAUGGGAUAAAUUCAGAAACCUCCCCUGAUGUUUCUGACAAUUUCACUAACCUCCCCUAAAAUUUGUAAAAUUACACAAACCUCCCCUAAAGUUAAUAUUUUGAUAACAAAGUUAGUCCAAUUAGAAAAAGUAACAUUAAAAAAGUACUUUAAAAAGAGAGAUGAAACUUUUAUUUUAUAAAUACCACUUAUGCAUGUAUAUAAAUCGUAUUAAUACAAGAAUAAAAAUAAUUAAUACACACAUUUAAUCAUUCAAAAAAUUCACAUUUAAUAAAUUAGAUAACAUAAAUAAGCAAUAAAAUUACAUUAAUGAUUACAAGAUUCGGCCAAAAAAAUUAGUAAUCUCUUUUAACAAAAAGAAAAAUUUUCAAAUUUUGUCUUUUCCCCCCUCAUUUCUCCCUUAUAUCCAUGAAAUUACUUUACAAUUGUCUCCUUUUUUCGAUGAAAUUCCUUUACAAUUGUCACAACUUUUACCUAAGUAGAAAGAAACUUAAAUAUACCUAGUGCCACGGCAUUUGAGGGCCCAAAUGAAGUUUAUCUCCCAAGUAGAAAGAAUAAUAUCUCUUGCCUCUACGAGGAAGCUAUGGAAAUUCCAACUGCUUAUCGAAAUUAUUACUGCCCAGGCUUUUACAGAAGGUACCCAUAAAUCUCGUCUUCAUUUGUUUUGAAACAGUAACUGCUCAUUCUAGGAUUCAUCCUCCUAGCUAGCUUGUAAAUACCUUUCUGUUCCUCCAUAGGUUAACAUUUUAAUAGUUAAAUAUUUGGAAAAAUUAGACAAGUCGUCCUUCACAUAUUGCGUAUGAUAAAAUUCAGUCCCUCGAAAUAAAAAUGAUCGAUUUUAGUUCGUAACAUAUUAAAAGUGAUCGAUUUUGGUCCUCAACGCAUUUUCAGGCCUUUUUUUUUUUUUUAAGAUGGGGGUAUCCGGGACCACCCGACUAAUCCCACCAAUCCCGAGGAGAGUGAGCCCCACCGAUUCCCAGGAAAUUACCCCGAGCUUGGGCAGCUCGGAAUGAGUUAAUCGGAAUGAUUUUCAGGCCAUUUUUAAUCGGAAUGAGUUAGGGAUCCACUGUGUGUUCCAAUUUUUAAGGGUAAAAUCGUAAAUCAAGUAGUGGGUUGACUGCAAAUGUGAAGGACCGAUUUCUUCUCCGAAGUAGGUCUUCUUCUUCACUUUAGGAAUCCAACUUUCAUCUACAAAAUGACAGAGCAAAUAUGGAGAAUCCAUGUCAUCCCCAAACUGUGAUUGUGGUGUACCUUCAAGGCUGAAAACUUCAUGGAUCUUUGACAAUCUAGGAAAAAGGUUCUCUGGCUGCGCCUAUUAUAAGAUAAGUUGUUUCUUGAAAUUUCCCAUUUCUUCCUCUACCAACCAUCAUUUCUAAUGAAUAUUCCCAUUCCCAUCAAUCAAUGGCAGCAUCUUCACGUUUAGACAUAUGUGUACAUUCUUCACUUAACUCUUAGUAGUGAUACUAACAAUAGGUUUGCUUCUGAUUCCAAGCUGCAGUUAUGGUACUUUAGUCCAAGUCAGUGGGGUUGACGCCGAUUUUGACUUAGAUGACGACUCCGGCGACUUCGAUUAUUCUUGUUUCACCAGGACUACUCACCUCCGGCGCCACCGCCACUGUCGCCUCAUCCACCAUCGAUGAUUUGCGAAGCUGAUCUUGGAGGAGUUGGUUCAUUAGAUACUAUUUGCAGAAUAGCUUCUAAUUUGAAUAUCAGUGAUAAUGUGUAUAUGCAAGGGGAGGGGAAUUUUAAUAUUCGUCUGAAUAUUACGGUUAACUGCUUGUUUUCGGGUUACAAACUUGUGAUAAAUGUCUCUGGGAACUUCACUUUGGAUCAGAAUUUGCUGGAACUUUUGAUUUGAUGGCGGAUAAUGCUAGUUUUUUGAAUGGGUCGGUUGUGAAUACUAUUGAGUUAGCCGGUGGAUGGUGUGGGUGGGGAUUAGAGGGGAAGAGGUGCGGCUUGUUUAAUGGACCAGGAGAAGCUUCCAGAAUCCAGAUGAUGUAUGUGGUGGGGAUGUAUAUGCAUGGGUGGAUUUGCAGGAUCCUUGUAGCUAUGGGAGCAAAGGUGGGACUCAAGCACGGAGGUGGAUUAUGGCAGGGGAGGAGGUGGGAUGAUUCCAGUUACACGUACAUUAGUCAUUAGUGUAAUGUAAUAUAUACAGCUCUUGAGUCACAGUCUAAGGUAUAAAGGAAUGUAAUGUAAAGGUAUAGCCUUGAGAGUCACAGUGUAAGGUGUAAAACUGGAAUGGUAUAUAUACAGGCAACCGCUUCAUAGUGAUCUAAUGAAUAGAACAACGAAGUAAAAGAAGAAACCAAAGUUGCAGUAAAAUGAGCCGAAGCAUCCACGAAAAAAGUAGCAGUUUUUUUUACUAGUACAAUAGAUGAUACGCUUGAGAAUUAAACUAGGACAUUGACACGCUCACUGAGGCCGACAUCAUGUUUUAGAAACUAAGACAUUAUUCCUAGAAGGAAGAGGAAUACUAAGAUAUCGAUCUAUCAACUAGGACCAACUUGAUCUCGUCCUACUAUCACUUCCAUGAUUAAAUCUUCCACCAAGAUAAACCUUCAUGUCUUUUGCUAAGAGAAACCAAACUUUCUUGAUAUAUUAUGACCUUCAGCGUAUCUCUCUGCCCGCAGAUGUCAAAUUUCCUGGUUUCCUGGCUGUGAUUCUUGAGAGAGCAAGAAAUCAAGUACCCAUCCUCGCUUUGUAGCAGAAGCUUAUCAUUAGUCCAAGAACAUAAUGGCUCGUGAAUCAAUGGCCCAUUCAUUCCUACGAGAGGUCCUAAGGAAAAUUUCUUCAUCCAGGACUCUUUGAUGCCAUAUUCCACCAUCACCCAGAUAUCAAUGAACUGCUCAUAGAUUGAUGGGAGCCGUUGCGGGUAAGGGUUUUUGAACGAGAUAAAGGCAAGGGAAUCAUCUAAGACAACAAGGCUGGGCCUUGUGUCGUCUGCUGUAUAGCAAGGAAAUUCCAUCUCCCCAAAUGCCUCGGUGCAUAUGUUGAAAGAAAGGAUCAUCCUAGACACGCUGAGCCGUGAUUUCGUGCUGGCAGCACACCAAUGAUAGGAUCCAUGAAUUAGUGCGGGGAAACAUGGGUGUGGGUGUUCGAUUUUUGGUAAGUCAGCAUCGAGAUUUCUCCAGGAAUUUGUGCUGAGAUUGUAUAUUUCAGCUGUCACUGAAGGGAGGCAAAAAGAGCCCGCAGAGAAACUGAUUAUCCUAAGAACCUUAUAAUCUCCAGAAGAUGGAUCGAACCCGAAAGCCAGACCGUUUGUUGUAAACACAGAGCCUUUUGAACAACCAUCGGGAUAAACAAAAGGGCGAACAGGGAGUUUGAGGAGUUCAUGCCUGGCAGGAUUGCAUAGAUAAAUGUCGUAGAAAUCCGAGAUGCAAACGAUGCCAUUGCAGGCUCCGAUCAGGCCGACCCAGUAACGAUCCCACCAAGGUAGCUCUAAAUUAGGGGCCACAACAUGGAGAGUUUCAUCUUCUUCUCCUCCAUUAUGAUGAGAAUGGAACGACAAGACGGUUUUCUUUCCAUCCUUGAUGAACCGCUUGAUGAGAACGACACGGUGAUCAUUGUAGUCUUUGGCAUGGUUGAGAUGCAUAUCUGCAAAAUAAGGGCUCUUGAUCAGAGCACACCAUUUCUUACAAACGCAACUGAAUUGAAGUAAUGAUUUGACGGGCAACCUGACGAGGAUCUCAGAUAAUACACCUUCAGGUAGCUGAUUAAUCAUAGCUCCAUUGAGGGUUUUAAUUCUUGAUGAGAUUGAUUGGAGAAAACGUUGUUAGAUGAAUCUUGAGAGGAUUUUUCGGAUUCUAGCAACCUGGCCCUUUUAUUGGCCCAGAUCAACUGUGUCCCGAAAUUGGUCCAUAUUCAGUACUCCAUUAGAUAGGCCUCUAGGCCGACGAUCCUCAAGUCUCGAAUCACAUCUCAGGUUGUUGUUCUUAUUCUGCGACAUACACGAGGUUCUUCUUAGCUAGCAGAUUGGGACUUGACGCGGGGUGCAAAUUUUUUUUUUUUUUUUUGAGGGAAUUAGGGGUGCAAGUUGAUUAAGCUACUCGACACCGAACUUGAGUCGAAUUUGAACUACUCAAUAGUAUGGAUGAAUCCAGUUCAAAUAUUAAAUUUCUAACCUUGUAAGCUCUAUGAGAUUAUGUAUAUAAGGGUAUUUAAUUUUUUAUAUUUAUUGGUUUAAAAUGUCAACUACACUUCUUGUUCAAAAUUAAAUAAAAUAUUAAUAUAUAUUUGGCGAUCUCAAUUAGGCUCGAUUAGAUUAGAUUCGAUUAGACUUGAUCGAUCUCGAACUCGAGUAAGAUAAAUUAAAGUUGAACUUGAAAUCGAUUUUUAAAAGUUUAACAAGCCUAAACUUGAGUUCAAUUAUUUUAACUCAAGUAGAGCUCGAGUUAAAGUUGGAAUACCCCCAGGCUUGAUGAUGAAGAAGGAGCACCAAGAUCUCAAUUUUAUUAUUAUGAGUAUUUUCAUUUGAGUAAUUUUUAUAUACACUGCCAGUGUAUCUCAGAACCAAAACGAUAUCAUAUAUAAGAGUAGCUUAAUUACCACAUAAUACCAUGCAAUGGUGGGCUUUUGAUCCAACCUGGCCCAUUGGUUGACGGUUGACCCACAUCGAUUUUGUCACCAAAAAUUGAGCCGUAUCCAGUAGUCCAUUAGACCUCUAGCCCACCCACCCUCAAUCUCAAAUUGCACUACAGGUAGUUAUUCUUAUUGUGCUACGUACACGAGGUUUUUCUUAGCUGGUAGAUUGGGACUUGAUUACGGAUGCAAGUUGAUUAAGUACUCGGCUUGGGCUCGGUAUCAAUUGAAAUCGAGACCAAGCUUAAAUUAAGACUGAGCUCAAGUCAAGUUUGAGCUACUCGAGAAUAUGAAUGGAUCUAGUUCGAUCUAGCCUAACAGACUUGACAAACAUAUGUGUGUGUAAUUUUUCAUAUUUAUUAGUUUGAAAUGUCGACUAUAUUUCUGGUUUAAAAUUAUAUAAAAUAUUAAUUUAUAGAUGAGCUCAAUUGGAAUCGAUUAGGCUUGAUUGAGUUUGAACUUGAGCAAGACAAAUUGAAGUCGCAUUUGAGCUUAAACUCGACUUAUGAAAACUCCAUGAGCUCGACCACGAGUUCCAUCAUUUUAACUUGAGUACAAUAUGUGGAUAUUUACAUUUUUCAAGUUAAAAUUGGAGCACCCAUAGACUUGAUGAAAAAGUUGGAUUAUCAGGGUCUCAAUUUUAUUCUUGUGAAUAUUUUCAUUUUGCAAGAUUAUAAGGCAAUGAGAAAAAUAAAAUUUCAAUCAGAGCAACUCAAUCAACCUAUGAAUUAUGUACGUCAAAAUUUAGGAGCUUUCCUAGAGGUGGAGAAUAUGGGAAGAGGAGCAGGAACUGCUGCAACCGUUCUUGGCAGUUCACUGUUAAGAUUUGGCCAAAAAAAAUUAUAUGAUUUAGAUUUCAUCUUGUAUCUCGAUUUUAACGUGUGAGAUUCACAAAAUUUUGUUCUAAAGUUACACGUUAUUGAAAGUAAAUUGCACCAUGUGCAAAAAAAGUUACACUAUGUGCAAAAUGCACGUAACCUGCAACCGUUCAUGUCCCAUGAAACUUACCAAAAUGAGUUAAUUUGUAACUGCUAUAUGGUUGUUUCUUAUGAAAAAGCCGCUUAUUUUUUGUUUCUAUUUCCUUGAAUACCUAAAAUUUUUGUUCCCUUGGGUAAAUAGCAGCCAUUCAUGUUGUAUGCUGAUAACUGAGAACACGAAACAUGAAGUCUAGUGAUCAUGCAUGGACAAAGUUGCAUGUAUUGAAAAGCCACUAUAUACUCCUCUACUACUACUACUAGACUAAAUCCAACAUAGUACUAGAACAUUAACUCUGCAAAUCCAAAUUCAGAACUCGAAGUCCUAAGAUGUCCCAUCAGAUAAGACUGUGAGUGGUCCGGGGAUUUUUGCCAACUUGAACUAGCAAUAGGUGUUUCCAGGCGCUCCUUCAUCUUUGCACAUCUUUAGCCCUGUACAAUGAGGGAAAAGGCUUUCAACUGGCAAUCAAACGGUGAUUUCCCUGUAGAUAACUGAUCUUUUUCAAGACUUUAACAGCAUUCAGUCGAUUCUAAUAACUGCUAAAAACGAUGAUUCUAUCUGUAAAUCAAACGUUAAUCCUGGAAGGAGAAGCGCAUAGCUCGAUAGCAGAGAUUAAACACGAACUUUCCUCAAAUAAGGAGGCGUGGAAAUACAAUAAAAGCAAGUAUUUACAUCUUAGCACUUGCCAAAAUAAAAAGUAUGUACACCAUAGAACGUGCAAAGAGAAUUAGAAAGUCAAGAAUUAUUUGCAACAAAACAAAGGAAUUAAGCCAUUUUUUUGAGAUUAAAAUUACUUGUACUGGAAAAAUCUAGUUUGACAAAUAUGCGCGGCGAUGAAUCAAUCUAUAGUGACAUCAAUCAGUAAGAUCAAGGGGAUUGAUAUUGCUUUCUGUAAAGUUAGACUAGAAGUUCGAUUACAUGCCUUAAAUUGCUAAAAGAGGGGGCAAACAAUAAUAUCAUCUAAUCAAAGACUUCUUACCUUAGUUUCUUGAAGUAAAAAGGCUGGCCUGUCCGGGCAUCUUCACCAACUUGAACUUGAAAACCCUUUUGCCACGCUGACCUUUGUCUUCCCACAUCUUCUCCACCGUGUACAAUCCAUCAUAGAUGUAGGUGAUGGAGGCCCUUAGUAACUUACGACCGCGGAUAACCCUAACAGGGUUCUUUGCCCUUAUGCUAUUCCGCAAUGCCAAGUUUCCCCUUUUCAGCUGCUGAUCUUCAGGCAUUUGCAGGCCCACGUUUGGAUUUGCAUUAUUUCCUCCCUGACCACAGUAUACUAGAGUGUCUUGAUCUGCCUUGUAGUUAUCAUAAAGCCCAGAAUCUACGAUACUGGUCGCAAUAAUUCUUCCUCCAUCCUGCACAUAGUCAAUCCCUCCCUGAGAAGGACGAUGCAGGCCUAAAAUGUGCAGCUCCAUUCUGUAGUGGAAUUCAUCUCCAAUUUCCACACCAGGGACUGGUCCAAGGAAGGGCUUAUCUGGGUAGUAAUGGAAUUUCUUUUUAAUCAUCUUUGCUGCCAUGAAAUCAACCCUCUUCCUCUUGUAAUUAUCCUCUUUAUCCAUCCUUGUGAUUUGGUCACAAAAAGCUCGGAAUUCUCUUACAAUUUCCAUCACUCGCUGCCUGGCCCUGUCAACAUUUUUUGGGAGCUUUUUCCCCCGAGUAGAAGCAGUACUAGCAGCGGGUAACUGGGAAUGAUCCUUUAAGAUGAACUCAUUUUGCAUUCUUUGGUGGUGAUCUCCAUCUUCUUUGUGUCUAGUACUGCCAGAGACAUUUUCUUCCGCCAUUGAUGUAGUUCUUCCAAUAUCUUCUGGAGAGUUAAUAUGAUCAAUCUGGAUUUCAGACCCAUCAGCCUUGCCAGCAUCCGCCGGGCUUCUGAAAACUCCAUGUGGGACUUGAACUACCGGGAAAACCUUUCGACCCUUGUGAAAUCUGGUGUUAGAAAAAUGGCAAUGGCAAUGAUCUGUGCUUGUAUCACCAUCCUCCUCCAUUUUUCUCUUGUUCUGCCUUCUUCCUAGUGAUGAGGGCUCCAUGGUAGAAGUCUUGUUCCACUGCUCCAUUUAUUUGCCAAGAUUAGUUUCUUCGUUGGCCAACAAAAUGAGAAACCCAAGAUAUGGAACUUUUGCAGUUCAAUUUUAAUUGUCAAGAAAAUUAAAGCAGCAGGCAUGGGAAGGGAGAGAGGAAAAGGAGAGAGAGAAUGAGGGUUGGAAAUACGGGACAAAUUCAGAUGGUAACCGGAUAGGAGUGACAGUGCUUAACCACUACAUGCAGAGCCGCACUACUAACUGCUGACAUGGAUCAAUGCGGGAAGAUUCUUUCUAACGAUCUCACAACACGACAAAUUACGAAGAAAACGACACGGCCAUAUAUAUAUAAUCAUAUUGUCUUGCUAUCAAUUUGCUCUUUUUCGGAUAGGCAAAUUGAUUCCCAGAACUUUGUUUUUACGUCCCAAUUCAGUACCAAUAUAGAUGUAUGUAUCGAAUUGCAAAUUUCUCAAGGCAUGACCAUUUUCGUAAAUUAGCAGCUAAUUAUAUAUGGUCCCCUAUUUUCAUUUUUCACAAGCUAUCAGUUUGGGAAGUAAAUUAUUUACUUGUGCAUUGUAUUGUAUAAUCCUCCAAGAAAGUGCUAAGAAAAAUCAGAAAUCAAUUCAUUACAUUUUAGGAAUUAAAAUAAAUAGACAAUCUACAAAAAAGGAAUUGAGAAUUUGAAAAUAAUUUAAGUUUUGAAAUGAUGAGACCAUACACUACAAUCAAGAUUCUGAAAUUAACUCAUUAAAUUUUUGGAAUUAAAAUAAAAAGAAAAUCUACAAAAAAAUGGAAUUGAGAGUUUGGAAAUAAUUUAAAUUUUGAAAUGAUGAGAAUAUAGUCUACAAUCAAGAUUUUGAAAUCAAUCCAUUACAUUUUAGCAAUCAAAAUGAAUGAAAAUCUAUAAAAAAAAAAAAAAAAAAAGGAAUUGAGAGUUUGGAAAUAAUUUAAAUUUUGAAAUGAUGAGAAUAUAGCCUACAAUCAAGAUUUUGAAUCAACUCAUUCAUUUUAGGAAUUAAGAUAAAUGGAAAAUCUAUAAAAAAGUAGUUGAGAGUUUAAAGGUUUAGGAUGGCUUUUAACCAAAAACCCCUUCUGUAGUUUAUAUAGAUAUAUAUCUGCGCACGAAUCCUUUUUUUUUUUGGUAAACAAAAAUUUGAAUAAAUUCGACUCCGGUCACCACUACGAGUCAGGGUAGGUCUUCGAGACUAUAAGCUGCUUACAGAGAUACAUACAUUCGCCCACCAACACAACUCUCAUAUCGAUAAGGGAUUCGAACACACGACCUUUUGUAAGAAAAUUAACCGUCCUUACCAACACAGCCCUCAUAUCAACACGGAUCCUUUGCGAAAACGGGAUUUCGUGGCUUUUUUCUCCCCCUUUCCUCGCACUUCCCCCAACUUCCAAACGAUGCUCCAUAGACUCUCAUGUCGCCAAAGCAUAUUUCGCAUCAAUUAUAGCUAGAGAUGGCAAAAUGUGCAGUAGCCAUGCACAACAAAAAGGCCAGUUCUAUUGGUACUAGACUAGUAGUAAUUGUAGUAGUAACAUGAAUAGCUCCAUAUCCAUAAGACAAGUGUAGAUCUAACAUAUAUAACUAAAAUCAGAGAAUUCUAGAUGAGAGCUGACAAGAAAACAAGAGAAAAUAAAGAACAAGAAAAAAAGGGACAAAGUCUCGUUCAAAAAUUUUUUAAGCGAGAGAAAACUUUCACUAGUUGUGAAUUGAUCAUUGAUUGUAAAUGGACAGGUGCUAAGGUUUUUUUUUUUCUCCUAUUUGGGGAAAAAGUAGCAUUGGUCCGUGGCUCAAUCAAAUCGGGACGGAUGUAAUUGGACUUUGUCCACCGGGGAUAAAUACGUUUUCUUUCCUUUUUUUUUAAUUGAUAUGUGUGGGAAAGCAGGGAUUAAAGUGAGAAAUAAUUAUUCAAGAUUUUUCUUGUCAUGGUUAAUGUGAGAAAUUACAAACUGUAAAAUUUCAUUUUUUUUUCUAAAAUCGACAGUGAUUUUCAAAAAAAAAAAAAAAAAAACUUAGACAGUUUCAUAAUAUAAUAUAUUGUUCAUGGGGGUUCGUUGCUUAUCUAUGGAUCCUAAUUGAGUUUUAAUCGUAGCGAUCCCAAAGAAAGGUUUUCCAAAAUUAUAUACUUCUUGUAAAUACUAAUAGAGAGAGGCAUUUCGUACUGCUUGCUUUGUGAAGGCAUUUUAUUAGUGGUGGCGCUCACUCCAUUUAUCCCUCCAAGGACCAAACUGAGACUCAUUUAAGGGAAGCUUAUCUAUGGAAUAGCACUACAAUUGACUCAAGUCAACUAAUAAAGGGGAGCUUACCUAUGGAAUAGUGCUACUCAGAGCUCGACUUGAUUCAAAAUACUUGAACUUGAGUCCAUGGAGCUUUUAAAAGAUGAGCUCGAGCUCAAAUUUGAGUAGAUUUAGUUCAAGUGAGCCCUAUUGAAUUUAUUUGAAGAAAAUCGAACUCAAUUAUUAUAAACUAAUAGAAUUUGAAUCAAUAAAUAUAAUUGACAUUUCAUACAAAUAAUAUAAAAAUAAAAAAUUAGAACCUUGAGUGAGCUCAAUUAAGCUUGGUGAGUUCUUGAACCUCACAUAAUAAACUCGAAUUCUAGCUCAUCAAUCUAUUCGAGCAGCUCGAGCUUAGGCUUGUCAACGGUUCGGGUUUGGGCCCGGACCCGAGCCGGAUCCGUCAAAUUAUUCCGAGUACGAGUAGGGAUAUAAUUUCGGGGCCCAGACCCGGGUUCGGAUCCGUUUUCUCAAAUAAAAAACGGAUUGAAUACGAAAUGUGGUAUUCCGACCCGUAUCCGAACCAAACCCGAAUAUAAGUUAAUUAAUAAUUUAAAAAAUAUAUAUUUAUUAAUAUAAUAUUCCAAAUUUACUUCAAACACGCCAAACGGUCCAAACCCUAAUAGGCUAAUAUACCUUUGGUAUCCCUCUGCGGCUCUGCCGCAUCUGAUAUCUCUCUCACUCUCUCCUCUUUAACUGUCCCCAAUUUGACAAUUUCAGCCGUCCCCUUUCCAAGCUUCAAAGAGGAGCAACUGAGCAAGGCAAAAUCUAAGCUUCCAGCCCACCGUCUCUCUUUCUCUUCGGUCCGUCUCCACCAUUUCUGACUUCUGAGCUUCCACCAGACUGUCCGAGCCAUCUCUUAGCUCCGCCUCCGCCAUCUCUUCAGUCCACACUCUCUCACAGUUGCAGCUCCAGCAGCGGGCCUUCCGGCGACAGUCAUUGGUUCCAGCUCUCACUCUCUAACAGGUAAAUUUUUCUAGUAUUUUGUCUUUGUCAAAGAUGGUGGCUGUUUCAUCUACACUUGAUAUUUUCUAAAAUCUACAAGUUUUUUUUCCCCAAAUUAUGCUUAUUCCUUUCAAUCCCUUGAUAAGGAUAAUUCCUCAUUCUUGGGUUCAAUGCCACUGCUGCUCCUGAUGAUGUUUUCGUCAUUGAUGGUGGAGAAUUGUGUGGAAGAGGGAGUUAAAUUAGCUGUUGGUGGAUGAGAAGAUAAUAUUGGUUUACCAAUCUGGCCGGAAUUACAAGAAAAAUGGAAGGUAUUUGAUAAUCGAUGGAAAAACAAAGUGAGAGACGUGGACAGAUUUCUAGUUGGAAGGAUGAAGAUAUAGUACUCUGUCGUCGCGAUAUUUGGUCAACUCUACUUUGAAGAGAGGCAGAGAGCUCUGUAGCUGAGUAGCGAGAGGCUCAGAGCCUCGAUUGUACAAAGCCGAUCUAGCUGAUGAUGUUAUUCUAUGCUUCGUUUUAAAGGCUAGAGGAAACAAAAAAAGUUAGGAAUUCAUCCAAAAGAACUCAUUGAUUUUAUACUGCAUGUCUAAAGAAAUGUAUUGAUUGAUUUUAUGCUUCCAAAUCCGUAUCAAUGGUAGGCUCGACCCGGAUUCGGAUCCGUCGGAUCCGGUUUCGGGAGAAAGAAUAGAAGGCCCGUCAGGUAUUCAGGCCAAAUUCGAAACGCGUAUAGUUUGACGGAUUCUCGACUCAUUUGCAUCUCUACGAUGGCAUUUGAAUUUCGCGAUCACAUUCAUUCAUUCACUCAUUCAUCUGGAUUCCAAUAUGACUAAAGAGCAUUCUUGCAUUGAAUUUUACUAAACUGUGAUUAGACUGUUGAUACAAAUUCCAGAACAUUUGACUGGUAAAAUCGCCUGCUCGGUACAUGUGAAAAUCCCGCACGCUUUGGGUGGCAGUAAAGCAAUAACUAUGGCUGACAUAACCUUUUGCGGAAAAAGAAAAACACUAACAAAAGAGAGAGACAAGCCAAAAAAGUGUUUAGUCACACAAUUAGUAGUGCUUUAUAUGAGCGUUUGCUUAGUUUCCAUUUGGUAGUCAUCAAUGAUCCAACCGCUCAUUUCCUUGCUUCUUUUCCCUUGUACUUAGCCUUUCCCAUACUUUCUGCACCUUCUCGAAAUUACUAAAGCACAUUCUUCUCUCAUGCUUUUGGCCAUUAAUUUUUCCUCUUAAUGCUAGAAAAAUCAUUAAACAUGGAACAUUGGAGCAAGACUUCAUUAAUGGAGCCUUUUCCACUGGGAGGAAAGCGAAAAAAGCGAGACGUGAAGGAUGUUGAUGGUGAUCAAGGCCCUUUCAGCCCCACCAAGGCUAAGAAAGUUGAGAAAAGUUUCCCCAUUGUUCGAGUCCCGCACGGAAUUUUCAUGAGGCCAGUGGAAACUAAUCAAGGGAUGAUCAAUAAGGAACUUCCAGAAAUCCAGGUUAACCAUAUUAAGUCUCCUAAGUUCUUGAGGAACUUGAUUUUCGAUCUUCAAGAUGGAAUCUUAGUACCUAAGCUUGGUCAUGAACAAAAAGCAAGUAGUUCCAAAAACAUUCCACCUUCUUCAGAGCAUCAUGAAAACAGUGAUAUAAGAACAAGAAUUGAACCACGUCCCUCAACAAUUGAUAAUGAAAAUGAAAUCCAAGAACUGAAAAAAGAUGUGAUCCAAGAGAAUUCUAAGCCACAAGGCCUGAGGUCCUCUACUAGCAGUUCCGGUCAGUCUCUGGCUCGUGAGAAAGUGAAGGACAUCUUACACCAUUUUCGGCACUACGUUGAGCAUGUCUUCAAGGAGGAGAGGAGGCCUGAAUUUGCAGCAUCAAACAUGAUAAAGAACAAAUUUUGGUACCCGCAUGUGCCAAUCCUAGGGUCAGUUCCGGGGAUAGAGAUUGGAGACAGGUUCCACAAUCGCAUGGAAAUUCAUGUUUUAUGCCUCCAUCGUCCACCACAAGGAGGAAUUGAUUGGAUGGAUUAUGGAAGAAGAAAGGUUGCUAUUAGUGUGGUUGCUUCUGGGGGAUACAGUAAUCAUUUGAGCAAUCAGGGUACCUUAAUUUAUUCUGGGCAAGGAGGAAAUCAGUAUGGACCUGGUACUCAGGGGACGGCAGAAGAUCAGAAGCUCAGCAAAGGAAAUCUUGCACUGAUGAAUAGUAUUGUGAAAAAGAAUCCUGUGAGAGUAAUUCGGAGAAGCGCAAUAUCUGGGCAUUACUUUUAUGAUGGAUUGUAUACUGUGGAGAAGAUUUGGAAGGAGAGAGGCAACCAUGGGAAACUGAUUUUCAAGUUCAAAUUGGAGAAAAUCCCAGGACAAGUCAGCCUCAGCAACCGAAGAAACUAGAGGUAAUAAUCCAGUCAUAUGCAUAUACUUGUAUUCUGGAAGAGAUAUUCCUCUUGAAAAAUUCCAGCUUGAGUUUCUGCUACACCUUAAUUAGGCCAAUAUUAGUCUAAAAGAACUUUAAGGGACAAAAGCACAAAUGAUCGAGAGCUCAUUUAGCUCCUACUUUUAAUCUAUUUGUCUAUUUUUUUCUUCACUUUGUAUUCAUGUCCUCUGAUGUUUAAUCAAAGCUCAAGCUCGUGCUUGUCCCCCAUCAUUAGACUUUUGGAAAAUUGUCCAGAAAGAUCACUCUGCUACACAAUCAGAAACUUAUAACUUGACCAGGCUAGGAUCUAAGCAAGCCUUUGUACAUGUUCAAGAUUGGUUUGAUCUUCCUUUUUCUAUAAUUUAAGGGAAAAAAAAAACUUUGUUUCGGGUUAAUUUGGUAAUUUGGUCUGAGCCCAAAUCAGUUUUUAUCAACCAAAUUCAAGUCGGGUUUAAGUAAAAGUUAAUUUGUUCAUGUGUCAAUGUAAAAUUUUAUGCUUAUCGAGCUAAGAGACGAACCCAACUUAAAAGGCUAAAACACAGAUAAUGUGCUUCAUAGCUGGUUUUGAUUAGUUAACAAAUGCGUAUAUGCAACUUUUUCAAUUAUAAAGGACGAUAGUGGAGGCCUUUUGUCCAAUUUUAACAGCAAAUGAUCUUAUUGCUUUAAUUGACCUACUGUUGGUUUGUGGAUUGUAUACACAGCAGCAGAAGAUGUGGGAAGAUGGGAGAUUGCAUGAGAAAUUUCUUUCCAAGUUCAAGUUGGUGGCAUUCCCAAGACGACUCAAUCUUUUUGCUGGAAAAAAUUACUGCAAUUUAGGUGAAAGAGUUGUAUGAACGUACUAGAGACAUGUUACAGGAUUUAGUAGUAAUUCCGAUGUUUUGCUAGACAGAAUUUGUGUAGGAACUGGUUUGGAUGGUUUCCUUUUUAUUCUUCUAGUUUAGCCAGAACCUGUUGUGUUAGCCUAUAUAAACUAGUGCUUAGUUGAAAACCUACUAGUUAAAAAAGGAUUUAUCAGAAAUCUUGACAAAGCCUCAAAGAUUUGGCAGAGAGUUGUGAGUUUAUUGCUCAUGAAUCUUGAGUUAACAAUAUUGUAGAGUAUUUUAUUGUGAGUUUAUUUGUCUAGAGUCAAGUUUUAGUAUCUUUGGCUGUGAUUUUGUUGUGCCUACAUCUUUGGCAUGCUAUAACAACUGCCUUUUCCUUCCCAUGUAAGAGAAAAUUCUGAAGAAGCUUUUUCUAUUCAAGAUGUACGUUUUUCUCUGCAUAUUCUUUCAGGAUAAACUCCACGUUACGCUCCCAAACUUGUAUCACUUUUUCACUUUGCAAUCUAAACUUCAAUUUUGAACACGUUGCACCAAAAAUUCUCAAUUUUGAUACUUUAUACCGUAAACUCUCAAGUUUGUUCCAUUUAAGUCUAGUCAAUAACAAAUUUAGCAAACUUAGGAGCAUGGACAAUGUGCCAAAAGUGGUCAAAAGGUAUCGAGGUAUCAUAGCAAAAAUAAAACAAUACAUUAUUAUUAAUUUGCACCAUCUUUUUUUUGGUUAAUUUUACUAAUACUAUUACUAAUUGAAACCAUAUAAAUCAAUGAUCGUAUGCUAAAAAUAGUCCAAAAAAAAAAGUUAAAUGAUCGCAGUUAGAACAAAAUGGUACAUUGUCAUUAAUUUUCACCACUCUUUGCCUCAUAUUUAAAUGGGAUAAACUUGAGAAUUUAUGGUGCAAAGUGCCAAAAAUUAAGAGUUUAGAGUGCAAAGUAUUCAAAAUUGAAAUUUACGGUAUAAAGCGAGAAUGUGAUAUAAGUAUCCUAUUCUUUUAUGAACCCUGAAGUUCUUUUUUGUAAUUGUUGCUGAAUAUCAAAUUUAAGAACACCAAAAAAAAAAAAAUGGUCGUUUUUAUAUCCUAAAGUACAUAUGGUUUUUGAAAUUCAUCAAAAUUUGUAGAUGGGAAUGCUAGAACAACUUGCAGUCGCAUUUUGCUCAUGCCAUCUAUUUUUCUUCUUCCUAGUCAUGUCAUCUCCAUAUCUUUUUGAAAUUUCUACUGAUUAUUAAGGAGUACUAAUUAGUAUAUACAAUUCAAUGAAUUGGACAUAGUAACAUUUAUAGUUCCUUGAUUUAUACUUUUUCCAGAUAUAAAUUACCAUUAAAAAAAUAACAUUUGGGGGCUCCUUUAAUCCUUAAACAAACCAUAUCUUAGAAUUUUCGUUAAUGCUACCAUUCAACGAUUCAAAAGAGAUUAGACGGAAAUUUUUCAAUGAAAUGUUUUCCUCAAGGGGAAUUCUAAUGAACGUAUUUGAGCAAUAGUCUCUACUCACUUUUUAGUUUAAUUUGAUGUUGCAAAUAAGCACCCAAUAUAUCAAUUACAACAUUAUAAAAUACAAAUUUGUUAUACAAGUCAUUCACUAGUUAGGUUCUAAUGAAAAGAUUUUAGUACCUUAAAUUAAAUUUGGAUUGGCUAUUAUUUGCAAAAAAAAAAAAAUUUAUUUACUUGAAUCACAAACAUAUUUUUUUAAAUCAUCUUCUUAUCUAGUUAAUCACUAUCACACAUGCAUCAUAUCACAAAAACAUGAUAGAGCAAUUAUUUCAAAAAUAUUAUAAAUAAUCCUAUAUCCAAACACGCACUUUGUUUGGCAAAAUACCUCGUUUAGUGAUGGUAUGAAACCUUGUUUGGAUUGUGAUUUUCGUGAAAAAAUGUUUACGUUUUUUGUGAACAUAUUUUCUAAUCAUUUUUUUUACAUCGCAUAUAUCAAAUUGCUAUAAUACAUUCUUUCUACAAAAACUCCUAAAAAUAGCAAUCCAAAUGGUUCAAAGAAACGAGUCUAUGUACAACCUAGAAAAGAAUAGAAAUAUAAAUGAGUCUAAUCAAAUCGAGCAUUCUAGUGUUAAAACUUGUUCAUUAUUUUCACGAAUUUAAAAUUAUGUUUAACCUUACAUUGUUAUAUUUGUCAAGUCCAAAUAAAAAACUUUUACCUAGUCGAAAUCAAAUAAACUUUUACCAAGUCGAGUUCACAUAAUUUGAAUUUUUUUUACAUAUAAAAUUAAAUCUUAGGUUAAUCAAGUCAAGUUUAAGUCAAAUUUGGAACUUUAACACCCAAAAAAAAACUGUUCAUGUUUGGUAUGAUUCAUUGAUAAAUCAAGCUAGAAAAAACUCUUUUUUAACCGUGCUCCACUUGAGUGUUGGUUUGUUUUUCACCAUUAAGAAAGAAGGCAAAAUGCUAAUGCCUGGUAGUUAAUUGGGGCAAAAUAAAUUUAUCUCAAAAGGAAAAAAGAAGCCCCCACUAAAAAGAAUUUCUUAUUAAUUAUCUCAUCUCUCAAAAAAGAUCCCGCCGCAAUUGGAUUUCAAAAUCAUUCAAACCACCCUGGACGGCUGGACCAGAUAGUCCCCACUCAGUCCAGCCCUGCUCCUACUACAACUACUAUAAAAAGAGCACGUACGUGGCGCUUCGCUCCAACAACUACCGCACAAAAAGGCCCACUCUCUACUUUCUCUCUCUAAAACUGAACAAAACUUUCUUGACAGGUCAAAAUAUAAUAAUUUUAAAAUAGCUUCCGUUACUUUUCUCAUUUUCCUUCUCUACCUCUUCUCUACUUCACCCCUGCCUCUUCCCCUGCUCCUCCUACUGCUUCUCUUCUUCACCGGCGUCGGAAAAUUUUUGAACGCCGGAACUCCUAAGGCGCCGGCUAGCUCUGGUACUUGUAGCGAGAUGGAAAGUGUGAUAGGACUUGUGAAUACACUCCAGAAAACUUGUACUCUUCUCGGCGAUUAUGGUGAUGAUCGCUCUUUGCCAACUCUUUGGGACUCUCUCCCCACCAUCGUCGUCCUCGGCGGCCAGGUUUUCUUCUUUCUCUCUGUAUAUAUACUUUUUAUAGCAUCACGUACUGCUGUGUGUUGUUGUGUGUGCACCCGAGGAGUCGAGGCUUCAGAAGUUGCCAGUGGAAGAUUUUUAAGCGUUUUCUGUUUUUACUGUUUUUUAAGGUUUUUUCUAGAGUGAGUAGCACUAAAAUUGUGAUUAUAUAAAUUCGCACAGCGAACAUGCAUAACAUUUGUACGUUUCUAUGCACUUCAAUUUUGAUGUAUAUUGAUUUUUUUGGCAGAGUUUAUUAGGAAUGCAAGUAGAUGACUAGUUCAUUUUUUUCGGAAAAGAAUAUGAAUUUUCUUUUUCCUUGUUGGUUUUCUUAUGACGUGUAGAGUUCGGGGAAGUCAUCGGUGUUGGAGAGCUUCGUUGGGCGUGAUUUUCUGCCUAGAGGAUCAGGUUUUUUUUCCCUAUUUUUUUCUUGUUUAUUCUCUUUAUCUUCAUUUUCUCUUUGCCUUUUGUCUUGUGUGUAUAAUUUUGUGAUUUAAUUGAUGCUAAUUAAGAGAAGUUAGUUGUAUUAUGAUGAUGAUCGAAAGUUACAAGUUUGAUGUUGGACUAGAAAUGCUUUCGUGGUGAAUACUAAAUGUGCUAGAGGGCAUCGCGUGUUGUUAAUGGAUUUCACAUCAUUAACUACGAGCGUCAUUCUUGCUGAGGGAGUUUGAGGAAAUUAAGAAUGAAGUUUGAAUGCAUCACAGUCUUAAACACAGCAAAUGUCUAUCAUUUAUUCCCCUUGCUUCAAUUUUCCUGAUUUUAGUGUUAUUCGGAGCAACUAAUUAUGCUUAUGGGUUUUAAAUUUAUAAUGCUUGUAGGGAUUGUAACAAGAAGGCCUCUGAUCCUGCAACUCUACAAGAUAGAUCCUGGAAAAGAGGAUUAUGCACAGUUUCUUCAUACUGGAGAUAAAAAAUUCAUAGACUUUUGUAAGUUAUUUUCUUCUGCUGUUUUAAAUGGUAAUGUUGUGAAUAUUGUAAAUGCAUUGGAUAGUUUUGAGAGUGAAAUGAAGAUCACUAGUUGAAUGCAACGAAGCUGCCUAACUUGCAGGUGCAAGGCUGCAUGAAUUGCCUCUUUUUAUUCAUUAAACUGCAGAAUAGGAUGAUCUGUUAAUUUUCUGAUUAGCUGUCAGCUUUUGCCUUGGUGACGUGGCAACAUUGCCAUAUCUGCUUCAUUUGAAAGUAACAGUGUCUUACCACUGGUAGACAUUUUAUCAUCUUAGAUUUUUUUCCUAGUGGUUUUUCCAUUUCUUUAAGUGGAGUGAAAAACAUCAUAAAAGACAUUUUGCACAACCGUACACUAUUACAAUGUUCAUUUUGAUUCAUUAUGCUUUCCUUGUGAAGCCAUGGUUCGGAAAGAGAUUCAGGAAGAAACUGACAGGGUGACUGGGAAAGCUAAGCAGAUCUCUGCACUGCCCAUUAAUCUCAGUAUCUACUCCCCUAAUGGUGCGUUUUAAUUUGAGAAAUCUUUCAUGAUUUCUUAACUUUUGGCGAUUAUGGUUUAAGAUAUUGAUUUCUUACUUUGGUGAUCCUUAAUUUUGCAGUUCUGGUUUUCUUCAUAUUCUCCUGUCUUAUUCCUUCACUAACAAUAUCUUUUCCUUUCACUUAAUUUCUUUACUUGCAGUUGUAAAUUUAACUUUGGUAGAUUUACCUGGUUUAACCAAAGUUGCUGUGGGUAUGUCAUUCUUUUUGCUAAAUUUCUGUUAUUCUUUGUUGUACAAUCAUUAUGCCUUACUUACAAGUUUGCGUUUGCAGAGGGACAGCCUGAAAGCAUAGUCCAAGAAAUUGAAAAUAUGGUUCGCUCAUAUGUAGAGAAGGUAGAAUGAUGCUCUCAUAUUUUGUGGAAAAUACUCUCAUUGAAUAGCUAAAUCUCAGUAAACUCUUCUGAUCCUAUUGAUUGAUGCUCAUACAAAAACCGAAGCACUUUGAUUUUGGUGUGCCACUCAUUAUCAUUUUUUUAUCUAGUUUGAUUUGGUAAAUGACUCUACUUAAAAGAUUUGGAAGCGUAUGAAGGUAACUUCUGAGUUUGGAGACAUGAUAAGUAGCUUCUUGUAAGCACAAAGUGUCAUUUUAUAUAAUGACGGAAGAUUCUUUUUCAUUGGAAUUUUCUUAACCUUUCGCACACCCUUGAACUGGAAUUGAAGUACAGAAUUUGUUGAUUUUGAACAAAAUUGCAGUUUGUAGUUACAUUUGAUUGCUGAUCAUCUUGUUUCUGGUUGUAGCCAAAUACAAUCAUCUUAGCCAUAACUCCUGCCAAUCAAGAUCUUGCCACAUCUGAUGCUAUCAAGAUUGCACGAGAAGUUGAUCCAGCAGGUAAUUUCUGUGGUAGAGUUUUAACAACCUUGCUAUGUCACUCUUUCGUCUUAAUUUAUUGGAAUGUAUUCUUGGAAUAUUUUUUUGUCUCUUUGCACUAUUGAUGCAUCCUAUAUACAGGAGAACGGACCUUUGGCGUGUUGACAAAGCUUGAUUUGAUGGAUAAAGGAACAAAUGCGCUGGAUGUAAGUGUCUUUACUUUUUCCAAGAAGUUUGUCUGAGACUGGUUGAAAGUGACUGCUUAUAUCAAUCUAUUGUUUGGCAAGGUAGCCUCUACCAAUAUAUUAUGUAUUGUGCCUAACAUUAGUCCAUAAACUUGGUUUUAGCCAAUUUUCUGGUUGGUUCUUACUCAACUUUCUUUUUGUUGUCAACUUUCUCAAUAUCCAGAGUUUAACAUCAGCACUUUUAGAGUUAAGGUCUAUGUUUUUUGGAGGUCAUUUCUAAUUAAAUAUGCUCAAGAUCGACAAUGGAUUUUAGAAACACAUUUAAAUUCUUUGGAUCUUCAUGAUUGUUGUGUUAACAUGAUGAAUCUCCAAACUAGAUGGAGUUGUUGCAGGUUAUUUAGUUUUCCAGGAAAUUGCUCUUGAAUUAGCUGAAGUUAGAGCAGGCAUGAGUUGGAGGAUUAUAUGUAGUUUCCUUUUGAAGACAAAAACUGACACUUAGGUCCUUUAUCCUUUUGAAGGUUAUAAUUAUCAAGGGCCUUAUAGAUAUAUUUCAUUAGGAUGCAGUUCUGUUCGAGCCUGUGAAGAAUGUCGAUCAGUUACUUGUUUUCAUUACCCACACCUAAGUGUUGCCACUGCAGAUGCAAGUUGGUUAUUAGAGCUAUCCUGAAAGCCAUAAUCUUGAUAACCAUAUUGUUUAUCUCUGCAAAUUUUGCCCGUAGUUUUCAGGGAAUAUAGUAGUGUGGCCACUCUAUUUUUUUGUUUUUCUUUUUUCCUAUAUCCCAUAGUUAGAUUUCUAAGUAUGCAAACAUUAUUAACUUACAGUUUUUCUUUUUAAAUUUCCAGUUUUUAUUCUGUUUGGUUUCUUAUGUAUUACCACCACCAAAUGAUGGAUGAUAUGAAAACGAUCUAUUCGAGCGACUAGCAAUGUCUCUAUUUAGAUGCCAUUUCAGGAUUUAGAAUUCCACCCCACCCUGCCCCUAGAUUACUCACUCAAGGUUCACCUUUCUUCCACCAAGGUGCUUGAAGGAAGAUCAUACAGACUGCAACAUCCCUGGGUUGGGGUUGUUAACCGUUCACAAGCUGACAUAAACAGAAAUCUUGACAUGAUUGCCGCCAGGCAUAGGGAGCGGGAAUUCUUUGCAACUAGCCCUGAAUAUGGGCACUUGGCCAGCAGAAUGGGUUCAGAGUAUCUUGCAAAACUUCUUUCCAAGGUACAUGUUUGCACUUAUGUUUCGCUUACUGACGCCGCAAUAUUUUUCCAUUGUUUAGAAUAACAGAGUUCACUAAUAAUUAUUUUGAAAAUAUCUGUGGUUUCAGCACCUAGAAUCAGUGAUAAAGGCCCGCAUACCUAGUCUUGUGUCUUUGAUUAACAAAACUGCCGAUGAACUUGAAUCAGAUCUUACCCAUUUUGGCAGACCUGUUUCGAUAGAUGAAGGGGUGAGGACAUAUACCUACUUCGGUAAAUUUGUCUAAACAUUGGUUUGUCAAUUUCUGUGUUGAGUAAUUUGUUCAAUUUUGUAGGCCCAGUUGUAUACAAUCUUGGAGCUCUGUCGGGCAUUUGACCGAGUAUUCAAGGAACACCUUGAAGGAGGGUACAUAGCUUUUCCAGCCUCACCUAGUGCAACUGUUUACUACUCACUCCCCCCCACCCACCCCCAUGGCCUACAAAACAGAAAACAAAAAUAAAGGUUUUUUUUUGGGGUGGGGGGGAGGUGAGGGGGGAUGCGAAGUACACAAAUGUAUAAAAAAAACUUAAUCUUCACUUAAAAAGUAGUCUAAUGCAUCAAAUAGAGAAUUAAAUAAAACUUGAGUAUUUGAUUUUCUUGGAAACCAUUUGGUUCCAUGUUUAAUCGGCAAUAACACUAUCACUUGCCAAGAAAAGAAUGUGCAAUCAUGCAGUUUGUAGCUGCAGCCGCUUAUGACUGAAGACCAUGUAACACAAGCCAUUUGGUUGAGUUAUUGCACAUCCUGCUGGCUGGAUGUUUCUAAGUUUGGGUAUUAAACAUAUUAGAUUAUACAACUGAUGGAGACAUGAGAUGUUUGAAAUAGCAACUCAGAGCUUAUAGGACAAUUUGUUUAUGUCUGCUAGACUGUGAAGUUUUCAGAAAUGCUAAUGCAGUCAAAUUUAAAGUGAUCAUACCAGUCCUUUCACUAUCACUAAUAUUUGGUGCACCAGAGUUUUCAAUUGCAACUUAAGGUCCUUUUCCUGCAAAGAAACCAUGUCAUGUGGUCGUAUAAGAUGUAGGUAUAAAUUGUUUUAGGAAAUUGCAAUCUAAAAUUGAUUUUAGGACCUUAUGCUUAAAAACUGUGAAGUAGAUGGAGUAAAUUGAAUGAUUUUCACCAUCUGUUGACUACAGUGAAUUUUUUGAAACCCUUAUGAGGAUUACAAGAAUUUGUGAUCUCACUAUACUAACUUCCACUAAAAGUUUGACCAUGAGCUUUUUAAAUCUCCAUAAAUAGGCGUACAGUUUUUACUUUUGCAUUUUUCAUGGUAAUAAGCAUCUGUACUCCCAUAUUGGUUAUGUUAAGCAUCUAUUACUUCUCUUGAUAGGCGGCCAGGGGGAGAUCGGAUUUACGGAGUUUUUGACCACCAACUCCCUAUUGCUUUGAGGAAGCUCCCUUUUGAUCGGCAUCUCUCACUACAAAAUGUAAAGAAAGUGGUCUGUCAAGCAGAUGGAUACCAACCUCAUCUUAUAGCACCAGAACAAGGUUACAGACGCCUGAUUGAGAGUUCUCUCAAUUAUUUCAGAGGUCCAGCUGAAGCUUCAGUUGAUACAGUAAGUGCUUCAGUCUACAUGUAUCACUAGGAUAAUGGCUUCUCAUUAACUGCUUAAGCAUGCCUAUUUUGGUUGGAUUAAUGACCAUUUCUGGUAAGGAAGAAUCAGCAGUCCAUUGGCUGUAAAUGGGCGUGAUAAGACUAACACAUUAGCAUUAUGCUUGGGUUGAGAUAAAAGUUUGAAGACGGGAUCAAUGGAUUUAUUUCAAGUGUACAACUGGAAUAAAUGAAAAUACUGCAGGCAAAACAAAUUUUCUUAUAUGCAAAGAGGUGGUUUCUGUAUCUAUAGUUUUGCAAAAGUAAUUGCUUGUUUUUCUUAAACUACCAAAUGGUCUUGUAGAUCCACUUCGUCUUGAAGGAGCUUGUCCGCAAGUCAAUUGGAGAAACACAGGUAGAAAGUCACAAGUCUAUUCCGGUGACAUUUGUUAACAUUUAUUCGUCAAAAGAGAGUUGAUGAUGGAACUCUAAAAUGCAGGAGCUUCGACGUUUUCCAACUCUCCAGGCAGAAAUAGUAGCUGCAGCAAAUGAGGCAUUGGAAAGGUUUCGUGAUGACAGCAAGAAGACUGUGUUGCGAAUGGUAGACAUGGAGGCCUCAUACCUCACUGUGGAUUUCUUUAGAAAACUCCCGCAAGAAGCCGAAAAGGGUGGAAAUCCAAAUGUCUCUGCUGCUGACCGUUACAGUGAGGGGCACUUUAGGCGGAUAGGUUCAAAUGUUUCCUCCUAUGUAGGCAUGGUGUCUGAGACUCUCAAGAACAUGAUUCCCAAAGCUGUAGUAUAUUGUCAAGUUCAAGAGGCGAAGCGAACUUUACUAGAUCACUUCUAUACACAAGUUGGCAAAAAGGAGGUAAAUAUCCUUCUCUGACAUCUUAGUUACAGGAGAUCAAUUGAUUGUUUUCUUCUGCUUUUCUCUCUUUCUUUGGUUUACCUUGUUUUUGGGCUGAGGGAGGGGGAGGGGAAGGGGAAAGAUAUCGGGACGAUUUCCACUGGACUUUAAUUUGUUUCUGCUGAAGCAACAGUAAUCGGAACUAAAUCUAGUCUGAAACCAAUUGGAGGAUAUGGUUGCACUUUGAAUUACUGCUGUCAAAACACUAUCGACAGUUUUACACUACGCAGUGGACCAAAACACUCGAGUCUUCUCAAAAUCUUUUCAUGAGUUGGAAUUCCAUAUUUUCACUCAUUGGGUGUAAUCUCAGUCAAAUUUUGUUACUACAUGUCGUAAAAAAAUUUUGCAUCAAAGCCAAUUUUACACACACAGUUGCUAAUGAUAGGUCAAAGAAUGAGGAUUUUGUACACAGCUGUAAGUUUAAUUGUUUUUAUCUUGUAGGGCCGUCAGCUUGCUCAGUUAUUGGAUGAAGAUCCAGUGUUAAUGGAAAGGAGGCAGCAGUGCUCUAGGAAGUUGGAGUUGUACACGGCUGCUAGAAAUGAAAUAGAUUCAGUGUUGUGGACAAGAUAAGGGAUUGUAGAUUACAUCUUUUAUCUGAUGAAAAGAUUGAAUGAUUUAGGUAACUGCAUUUCAUGUUCGGUUGCAAAAUUUUGUUGAUCAUUCCAAUUUAAAUGCAAAAACCUUAAUGUUCACCAGUUGAUUUGUGAGAGGAGACUAUAAUUUCUUUAUUAAUAUCUUAAAUAAUCCGGCAGCAGCUAGCAACUCUGCUCCUUCUCACAUAUAAGCAUACACCCACCCACAGUAGUUGCGAGUGGUGGUAUAAGAUGGAUACACCUGAUGUGAAGUGCUUGUCAUAGAUUUGAAAAUUUGGCAUUAGUAUUGUAGCCAUUUGACCCACAAGUGAAUCCAGACGGCAAAUGAAGGUUCUCACCCUUCUACCAUACGAUCAAAAUUCUUCACACCACAAAACACAUACUUUUAUGUUGAUCGUUUAGAAUAAUUAGAGCAAGAGAGAUUUGACAGAUGUUCAUUUCUCAAUGAUUUAGUUGUGUCCACGAAAUUUUUAACCUUAAAAUACUUCAAAAUGUUGAUAUUGACGUUUACAAGUCCAAGGACUCGAACUGUGGUGGCCAAAGCCAAUAUCACAUCGCCAUCAAUCAAUCCUGUAAAUUUCCUCAAUUCAACAGGGAGAGGAGAGGAUAUGAAGCUGUUCUGGGCUGUAGUUAUUGCAUAUACCAAGGGGGUCAUAUUGCACU